rfam:Hordeum vulgare subsp. vulgare, WGS project CAJW01000000 data, contig: morex_contig_2429125
CGCCUUCGACAAUGUAACGAGGCACCGCAAGGUGCGGGGUAUCAAUCGUGAGAGGCGUACCCUUCUGGCAGCCAUAGCCGGACAAGGGC